rnacentral:lncRNA from 1 species
AAUCACUAUCAGAGAGAAUAAUGCAACAUCCUAAUCAACAGGACUACAAAUGUGCUCUUACAGAAAAACAAUCUGAUCAUCUGGAAAAAUCACAGCUACAACCUGGGAACAUUCCUAUCUGGGAUACUGAUCUGGACAAGGCACUCGAUUUCUAAACAGGAAAACUGUGAGAUCAGGUUUGGAAAAAGGCAGACUUGACUUUACCCCGUGGAAUUGGUGAAAAACUGAUUUUGCGUCUUGCAGCAGUGGAACUUGGCUUAACAGCCUGUGCUCUUCUGCCAAAACGGGCCAUGCAGUUUGGAUCCAGAAUUGCAAAAAUGGAAAAGAAUAAUGAAAAGGCAUCUGAUAAAUGUGGAAGGCUCCAGGUCAUUUCCUUAGAAGACCUCUCUAUUGAAAAGGAGAUUGAAGUGUAAUAUUUCACGACGUAACAGCAUUUACUGAACGAUGAUUGUGUAAAAAUAAAACACUGUGCUGCUUUAUUAUCAUAAAAAAAAAUCUCAAAAAAGCUCAAAAGCUCAAAUCAAAUCUCCUCCUCCUGGAGGAGAACUCGCAGCUCCGGGACGCGGUGCAGUGGCUGCCGGCCGAGGUGGAACUUUUUUUUUUUUUUUUUAACUCUUUUAUUGAAGUGGGAGACGGACACACACGAACAGUCUUUUCUGAUGCGGCCUCCGGGCUCAGCGAGGCGCGGGCUGGGGGCGCCGGGCGCGGGGCCUCGGAGCGCGGCGCGGGCGGUGCACGGCUGGAGCGGGCGCAGCUCUGCGGGGCUGUAAAGCGGGGGCUCGAGGCCGGAGCCCGCCCCGUCCAGCAAGCGGUGCGCCAGGCUCAGCUCGCGUCCUGCGGCCUCGGCCUCCGGCAGCGGCAGCUCCAGAAAGUAGGUGGCGAGCAGCGUCACCUGGGGGCGGCUCCGGGCGGCGGCGAGGAGCGCGAGGCGGAGCAGCGGGCCCGGGUGCUGCAGCGGCUCCAGGCGGCUCGGGAUGCGGCGCUCGGCGCGCCCGAGCUCGGCCCGCGAGGAGGAGCCGGCGCCCAGGAAGCAGAGGGACAAAAGGAUGAAAAAGUCUCAGUUUCAAAUUGUAAUCCUCUCCAGAAGGAAGUUUCACCAAAGCAGACAACUCUUUUUCUGAAAAUUCCACAUUUACAUUAUUCUUCUGAACAUUCUUGA